CAGCUUCUACCCCCAAGCCAUAAGACUGUUAAACAUCUAAUCAAAUGGCUUAUCUAUCAUCUAUGGAUAGUCACAUAACCCCUACCUACACGUACAUGUUACUGCAAAUGCCUCGACUACCCUGUACUCCCGCACAUUGACUCGGUAUCCCCUGUAUACAGCCUCGUUAUUGUUAUUUUAUUGUUGCUCUUAUUUUUUUACUUUGGUUUAUUUAGUAAAUAUUUUUCAUAACUCUUAAUUUUCUUUAAACUGCAUUGUUGGUUAAGGGCUUGUAAGUAAGCAUUUCACGGUAAGGGCUACCUGUUUGGCGCAUGUGACAUAAAAUGUGAUUUGCUGUAAUAAGGUGUAAAUCAAUAUUGCCCUAUGGUGGUAUGAUUUGGAACUGGUAAUUUACCCACAUUUACACUCCCGGACGUUAGGUGGCAGUAAACACUUGCAGUUGAUCACCAAACGUCACUAAUGAAGAAAGAAGAAGACAUGAGGAAGUUUUGCCGCGUUUCUUUGUUUUGGAUCUUCAGGCGCAGUUUUUUGACGUUUCGAUACUUCAGAAACCUUUUUAUUUCGCUUACGAAUAACGAGCUAAACGCAGUUUUAUGAUUCUGUGUUGAUUGAACCCAUAUGAGCUAAUUUAGUAUUCAGCGUCUCUGUCGUCUAGCCACUGUAGCUAGUUAACGUUAGCUAGCAACACAGGAGCCUUUCUUGACGUCAGUCGCUAAGGCUUGCUCAUAUCGUGGAUGGUAAUCAAACCCAGCCUGCCACUCUCCUUUACCGGACCUAAAUCUGAGGGUCCUGAUUGUAACAGUAAAGCCCAGAGUGAACAGCAGGCUCCAGAGAUGGCAUCAGUGAAGCAGGAAGACUGCAGUCAAACACUGGGGCUGAAUGUCAACAUUAAAGAUGAAGUAAAGGAGGAAGAGAUUGAAACAUUUGUGUAUCAUGGGCCGGCUGGAGAGCUCAAAGAAAAGACGGAAGAAAAGAAAGUCUUACUACUCAAAGAUAAAGGAAAAAGAAAACCCAAAGGAAUGGAGAAGGAAACUGAAAAAAAGAGGCACCGAUUCACCCCUGGAGAUGAGGAUCUUAUUAUUUCAGGGGUACUUGGGCACUGGGAGGACCUCUUCGGUGCCCAGGCCCACAUUCGCCCCCGGGGGUCAAAGACGGCAACCUGGAACACCAUCGCGGGGACCUUGACCCCUACAUCAGCUGUGGCGAGAUGUGGUGAUGAUGUCCGGAAGAAGUACAAUCUCAUAAGGAGCCAAAUCAAGCAAAAGGUUUCUUCUAUCCGGACAUUGUCCACCCAGACUGGUGGGGGGCCCAACACCGUGCCGGCGCUGACCGACCUGGAGCAGCAACUGCUUUCCCGAAUGGCAGAGACCGAAGCUGGUGUAGGGCCUGCUGAUUUGGGAUUUGGUCUCUCUCAGGGAGAAAUCUCCAGCUCUGGUCCCCUACCAGCAGCACAGGGAACUGUGGAGUCAGCUUUACCCUCUGUCACCAUGGAGGAGCUACCCUCCACCUCGCCAUCAACACCUUGGCCAGCACCAACAGUGCCACCCCAACCCAUCACCUCCCGUCCUGCACCAUCUCACUCUGGCUCUACACCCCAACCCAUCACCUCCCGUCCUGCACCAGCUCACUCAAUCCAGGCUCAAUCAAUGAAUCAAAUUUAUUUUAUAAAGCCCUUUUUACAUCAGCAGUUGUCACAAAGUGCUUUACAAAUACCUAGCUUAAAACCCCAAAUAGCAAGCAAUGCAGAUGCACUCUCUGGCUGUAAACCCCAACCCAUCACCUCCUGUCCUGCACCAUCUCACUCCAUCCACUCUGGCUCUACACCCCAACCCAUCACCUCCUGUCCUGCACCAUCUCACUCUGGCUCUACACCCCAACCCAUCACCUCCUGUCCUGCACCAUCUCACUCCAUCCACUCUGGCUCUACACCCCAACCCAUCACCACCUGUCCUGCACCAUCUCACUCUGGCUCUACACCCCAACCCAUCACCUCCUGUCCUGCACCAUCUCACUCCAUCCACUCUGGCUCUACAUCCCAACCCAUCACGUCUGGCUGGACACCACAGGGCCCCCAAGCCAAUCUGUUCCAACAAAUCCUGGACACACAAACACAACAAAUCCAUGUUACACAGACCGCCCAACACAUCCACCAAGCUCUUUAUGAUUUAUUACAAAAAGCACAUGAAACACAGAAGGCACACCUGGAUGUGGAGAAGAACCGGCUCCAGCUGGAUAGAGAGCGCUUGAGGGUGGAGACAGAGCGCCUGCAGGUGGAGAGGGAGCGCCUUCAGCUGGAGAAGGAUCGCCUGGGGGAAGGGGAGGCCCGGGAGGUGCUUCGGCAGCUCUCUGUCUCCGGGUCAGUCGCCCUAGAACACCAGACGCCUGUGAGUUCAAGAACUGCCAGUGCCUCCCCCACCCUUCCUCUGGGAACACCAUCAGCCUCCAUGUCCAGUCCCCUCACAUUAAUAUCACCUACUGCACCACACUUUGAUUUCUUAUUUUCCCCAUUCCCAUUACCGGUAAUCACAACCCAUUCCACCCAGCCUUCACAAACUGCCCCAACCCCCCUACCUUAACCAGCCCUGCCCCAACCUCCCCUACCUUAACCAGCCCUGCCCCAACCUCCCCUACCUUAACCAGCCCUGCCCCAACCUCCCCUACCUUAACCAGCCCUGCUCCAACCACCCCUACCUUAACCGUUUCUGCCCACUCUCUCAUCCCUACAAUCUCCGGAUCUGUUAAACGGCGAGUUCAGGAGACAGUCCGGCCUUGGUCUACACCCACUGCUAAGAAUAAAAAACAUCAAUAAACAAAUAAUGUAAUAAAAUACAAGUGUUUAUCUUUUCUUACAGCCUC
rnacentral:lncRNA from 1 species